CCCCACCCCUGGUGAUCGAUGGAAACCUGACUGCAUGCAGCUGCAUCAAUCAAGUCAAGAUGGGACAUCAAGAUGGGACACCUUGACUUGCUGCCCUUCCUGCCAGCUGAUCCCGACUUGGAAACGUUCCAGGAUGACAAGGUUUCUUGUUUUCUGUGCUGCCUUCAGGGGUGAAUCUUCUUUAAAUGGAACAGAGCAAACAAAACAGAGACUCCAGACUUCUGUCAAAACACAAGCUAAAGACUAUGCAACUGAGAAUGUCACCCUGUACACUUGUGACACAGCUUUACAGCCUUCUCGGCCUUUUGCCCAAGAUCAUGCGUGGAGUGUCGUGUGUGUCUCCCCCUCUGCAGCUGCCCCUGGGUCACUCCUUACUCUGCAGGGGGGUCCCAGCCUCCUCCUCCUGCUCUGGCCAGGAGGUCAGCCCUCAGCCAAGCAGGUAAAACCAGGUUUUAUUGACUGAAACACUCCACAAACCUUUUCAAGCUGCUAAAUUCUUGGGUUUGUUAUUCCUAGUGAACUGUCGGUUAAGUGGAGCAACAAGACAGAAAGAACAAAAGUGGGCUAUUGGAUAUCCAU